AUUGAACGCUGGCGGCAGGCCUAACACAUGCAAGUCGAACGCGAAAGCUCCUUCCGGGGGUGAGUAGAGUGGCGAACGGGUGAGUAACACGUAGGAAUCUACCCAGGAGUGGGGGACAACCCGGAGAAAUCCGGGCUAAUACUGCAUACGCCUACGGGUAAAGUGGGGGACCUUUUCGGAGGCCUCACGCUUUUGGAUGAGCCUGCGUCGGAUUAGCUUGUUGGUGAGGUAACGGCUCACCAAGGCGACGAUCCGUAGCUGGUCUGAGAGGAUGACCAGUCACACUGGGACUGAGACACGGCCCAGACUCCUACGGGAGGCAGCAGUGGGAAUAUUGGACAAUGGGGGCAACCCUGAUCCAGCCAUGCCGCGUGUGUGAAGAAGGCCCUAGGGUUGUAAAGCACUUUCAGUGGGGAAGAAAAGCCUGAAGAUAAUACCUUCGGGUCUUGACGGUACCCACAGAAGAAGCACCGGCUAAUUCCGUG
rnacentral:rRNA from 1 species